rnacentral:rRNA from 1 species
CCACCUGUGUUCGUGCUCCCGAAGGCACUCCUCCCUUUCAAGAGGAUUCACGACAUGUCAAGCCUUGGUAAGGUUCUUCGCGUUGCAUCGAAUUAAACCACAUACUCCACCGCUUGUGCGGGCCCCCGUCAAUUCCUUUGAGUUUCAAUCUUGCGACCGUACUCCCCAGGCGGGGUACUUAACGCGUUAGCUACGGCACUGAUCGGGUCGAUACGACCAACACCUAGUACCCAUCGUUUACGGCUAGGGCUACUGGGGUAUCUAAUCCCAUUCGCUCCCCUAGCUUUCGUACUUCAGCGUCAGUUGAGAUCCAGCAGGACGCUUUCGCCACUGGUGUUCUUCCAGAUAUCUACGCAUUUCACCGCUACACCUGGAAUUCCUCCUGCCCCUAUCUCUCUCUAGUCUCACAGUUUCCAUUGCCGAUCCAAGGUUGAGCCUCGGGCUUUGACAACAGACUUAUGAAACAGCCUACGUACGCUUUACGCCCAAUAAUUCCGGAUAACGCUUGCAUCCUCCGUCUUACCGCGGCUGCUGGCACGGAGUUAGCCGAUGCUUAUUCGUUAGGUACCGUCAUUAUCUUCCCUAACAAAAGAGGUUUACAGCCCACAGGCCUUCGUCCCUCACGCGGUAUUGCUCCGUCAGGCUUUCGCCCAUUGCGGAAAAUUCCCCA